CCCCCCUCAUCCCCUCAGUUUCAAAAAUCCUGGAUCCGUCCCUGAGUCUAGUAUACAUGUACUAACUGCUUCAUAGUAUUUAAUAUGGAACAACUGAUCUUUAUAAAAAAAAAAGCCCAAAUAAAAUGCAUGAUAGGAGGGCUGAGAAGUUGGAUGAGCCAGUCCUUCAUUUCUAUAUUCUUUAAUUUUUCUUACUUUUUGUCCAUGAUUUGCUAUCCUUUAUAUUUCAGCACCUCAUUAUUCUAUAUCCUUUUUUUGUCCAUUUUUCUCUAUUCUUUAUAUUUUUGUCCAUUUUUCUCUACUCUUUCAUACCUGCUAAGUUUUCAAAAUGCCCAUGGGGGUUUUGCGUGCAAGAUGGCUGCCAUAUUCCUAAAAUAAACCUUCAAGGGGGGCCUUCAAAUACAGUGUAAUGUUGUUUUUUUUUGGCUUCUUCAUACAUUCAUAAGCCUCAAUUCAUUGCAAAAUUGAUUGUUUUGUUAAAAUUGUGGACAUAAUUGCUCUUUAAAAAUUUCUAUUUGGGAGCCUCCAUGGGAGAAAUCCCCCGCAAAUAGUGACAGUUGGCUCUUUAAAUUUUGUCCAUUUUGUCCAUUUUUCUCUAUUCUUUAUAUUUUGUCCAUUAUUCUCUAUUCUGUUAAACCCACCCACGUGACCCUCCUAUACUGAUGGGCGUGGUUUUUUUUUUGGUUCUUCGGUAGUGAGCCAGAAGAGAUUAAUUUCUGUUUGUAUUUCUUUGCAUUGGGAAUAUCUCCUGUCUCUCCUCUCCCUGUUCCUUUAAGAUAUAUAGUUUACACGACGGGACGAUAAGCUGUAUGAAUAUAAAAACUACACGGACAAUAGCAGUAAAGAAGAUGACUAUUUGAUAUUCUGGGGAGGGGAGUGGCAGGAUGAUUUUUUACUGAUUUAUUAUUCAUUUUAACUGAUCUGUCGACAACCACGUAACUACAUGCUCCUGAUUUAACACAGGCACAUAUUAAAAGAAAUAUGGCAGGGUAAAACAUGUUUGUGAAUGCACAAUCCUUCCAUAAUUUAAACUGAGACAGUGGCGUAAUAGUACAACAUAAGAACAAAC
rnacentral:lncRNA from 1 species